GAUGAACGCUGGCGGCGUGCUUAACACAUGCAAGUCGAACGAUGAAGCCCAGCUUGCUGGGUGGAUUAGUGGCGAACGGGUGAGUAACACGUGAGUAACCUGCCCUUGACUCUGGGAUAAGCCUGGGAAACUGGGUCUAAUACUGGAUAUGACUUCUCAUCGCAUGGUGGGGGGUGGAAAGAUUUAUUGGUCUUGGAUGGACUCGCGGCCUAUCAGCUUGUUGGUGAGGUAAUGGCUCACCAAGGCGACGACGGGUAGCCGGCCUGAGAGGGUGACCGGCCACACUGGGACUGAGACACGGCCCAGACUCCUACGGGAGGCAGCAGUGGGGAAUAUUGCACAAUGGGCGCAAGCCUGAUGCAGCGACGCCGCGUGAGGGAUGACGGCCUUCGGGUUGUAAACCUCUUUCAGUAGGGAAGAAGCGAGGGUUACGGUACCUGCAGAAGAAGCGCCGGCUAACUACGUG
rnacentral:rRNA from 1 species